rnacentral:rRNA from 1 species
GACGAACGCUGGCGGCGUGCUUAACACAUGCAAGUCGAACGGAAAGGCCCUGCUUGCAGGGUGCUCGAGUGGCGAACGGGUGAGUAACACGUGGGUGAUCUGCCCCUUACUUUGGGAUAAGCCUGGGAAACUGGGUCUAAUACUGGAUAGGACCAUGCUGUAGGUGGGGUGGUGGAAAGAUUAGUUUCGGUAAGGGAUGAGCUCGCGGCCUAUCAGCUUGUUGGUGGGGUAAUGGCCUACCAAGGCGUCGACGGGUGGCCGGCCUGAGAGGGUGGACGCCCACAUUGUGACUGAGGUACGGCCCACACUCCUACGGGAGGCAGCAGUGGGGAAUAUUGCACAAUGGGCGGAAGCCUGAUGCAGCGACGCCGCGUGGGGGAUGAUGGCCUUCGGGUUGUAAUCUCCUUUCAGCCAUGACGAAGCCCUUGUGGUGACGGUAGUGGUAGAAGAAGCACCGGCUAACUACGUG